rnacentral:rRNA from 1 species
AGAGUUUGAUCAUGGCUCAGGACGAACGCUGGCGGCGCGCUUAACACAUGCAAGUCGAGCGAGAACCAGGGCUUCGGCCCUGGGGACAGCGGCGAACGGGUGAGUAACACGUGGAUAACCUGCCCUCGGCACCGGGAUAGCCCGGGGAAACUCGGAUUAAUACCGGAUAGCCCUUCCGGCUCUCGAGCCGGUCUGAAAAGGUAGCUUCGGCCUCUGGCCGAGGAUGGGUCCGCGGCGGAUUAGCUUGUUGGUGGGGUAACGGCCUACCAAGGCUCCGAUCCGUAGCUGGUCUGAGAGGACGAUCAGCCACACUGGGACUGAGACACGGCCCAGACUCCUACGGGAGGCAGCAGUGGGGAAUCUUGCCCAAUGGGCGAAAGCCUGAGGCAGCGACGCCGCGUGAGGGAGGAAGGCCUUCGGGUUGUAAACCUCUUUCAGGAGGGACGAAGCUACUCGGGUGAAUAGCCCAGAGGGUGACGGUACCUCCAGAAGAAGCCCCGGCUAACUACGUGCCAGCAGCCGCGGUAAUACGUAGGGGGCAAGCGUUGUCCGGAUUUACUGGGCGUAAAGCGCGUGUAGGCGGCCACGCAGGUCCGUUGUGAAAACUGGAGGCUUAACCUCCAGACGUCGAUGGAAACCGUGCGGCUAGAGUCCGGAAGAGGAGAAUGGAAUUCCUGGUGUAGCGGUGAAAUGCGCAGAUAUC